UUUAACCUUACUUUUUUCUUCGUGUUUACUAACUAAUAUUGUUUCCACGUACGUAUUGUUAUUUCUUUUAAAGGACCUGUUAUUCUGUGAUAACUUUAAUUAAUAUGCCACUAUAUCUUGUUACAGUACUAGGUUUCCGAGGCAAUUACCAAUGGUUGACCAAUUUGCAGACUGGGUGCUAUGUCAUCAGUCUUUAGUUCGUGACGUUUCCAGGGCAUAUCACUUUUCUUUUUUGGAAGACGAACAUGAUAUGUUUCUCAAAACGUCAAGAAUUUGAAACCAACAAACUGGCAACCUUCCCAGGAAUUGUUCAUUUAAUAAGACUGUACCACUUGACAUGUUAAUGGACUUUUCUUAGUGCCACAAAUUGUUAACACCUUUAAUAUUUACACCAAUGCCACCAGCCAUAAAUGCUUUCUGUAUUGUUUUAAUAAAAAAUAAUUGUUGCAUAA